rnacentral:tRNA from 1 species
AGGAAAAAUAGGCUUAAAGCGGGGCUGCUAACUUUGCUUUGGGUAGUUCAACUCUAUCCUUUUCCUU